CCCUUAGACGUUCUGGGCCGCACGCGCGCUACACUGACCAGUGCAACAAGCAUCCGUCCUUGGCCGACAGGCCCGGGCAAUCUUUGAACGCUGGUCGUGAUGGGGAUAGACUUUUGCAAUUUUUGGUCUUCAACGAGGAAUUCCUAGUAAACGCAAGUCAUCAACUUGCAUUGAUUACGUCCCUGCCCUUUGUACACACCGCCCGUCGCACCUACCGAUUGAAUGGUCCGGUGAAGCCUCCGGAUUGGCGCGCACCUCGGUGCCGCCGAGAAGUUGGCUAAACCUUACCAGUUAGAGGAAGGUGAAGUCGUAACA
rnacentral:rRNA from 1 species